UGUUUUUUUCCAUCUCUAAUGCCUCCUCCACAGGAGUGUCUGUAAGAAUAGCAGUAGAGCGUCGUUUCCUGCCUUUUGUACUUUGUUUUCUGGGUCCUGCUUUGGGAUGUGGCCGUAUAGCUUCAGGUGAGAAGUCAUCUGUAGGCUCACUCAUCCUAGAGGUUGAUGGUCUUGAUGGGGAUGGACAGAAUGAAGGUGGCUCAGUUGGAGGAGACACAUUAGCAGUUGUCCCUGGAGGGACAGCAGGUGGUCCUGAUGGAGGAGGUGUCCCAGAAGUAGAAGGCACAGCAGAUAGGGCAAGAGGGCGAUCAGUGACUACUGAUGGAGCAAAGUCACAUUCUUGGAAUAUAUCCCUAUUAAAUGGACAAAUUCCUGUGCAUCUAAAUCCU